UGAUUGCUGGUGAUAUGGACUUUCAAUACGAAGCAAGAAUGGUGAAAAGAAUGGUUGCAUCUCAAUUCGAAGGUUCAGUCUGUCUCACUCUACAUCGACGCCGAGGUUUUGCCGAGACUUACAAGGACCUGUGACGAUAAACCCUUCCCAACAUCUGUCCACUAAUUAUCAAUUCCUGACGGAGAAGGCCUGGAAAUGGUGAACCACUUACACUUCACUGUCAUGGCUACCUUCACAGCAACUAGUUUAUGUUUUUCACUUUUAGCUUGCUUUAAAACCCUUCUAGAAAUAAAACAUGAUUCCUAUAACUCAUUUGCUGUCAAACAUGUUUUCCUCCAGAUCCUGAGCAGGAGACCUUAGAUAUGCUAAAAGGAAGUUGUACAUAUAUGUGCAUGUACGUGUGUUUGUGGUUUAUCAGUUGUCCACUAUUAUCAGUCAGGUUCCUUAACUGAUACGUAUAGCAGAAAGUGGACGAACAGUGCCUGACCCACUGCUAACAUCACGGCGAUGGAACUGGAACUGAGGAGAGAAGCAUUGGGAACUGCCUCUUCCGGUUGAGCAUCUGUUCUCUGUCACAGCUGCUGCUGCAGUGGAAACCGCACAUUCAAAGGACACACCGGAACUAACGUGUUCGUCAACAAAUUCUGACCUCACGAUGAUCUGAUAUCCCAUCAUGCUUUAACUGUAGGACACCUUUAUUUCCGGGCCAGAGAUCUGCCAUGCAACUGAUGGAGAAAGCCGCCCAUCCGCC